GACGGAGGAUGCAAGCGUUAUCCGGAAUGAUUGGGCGUAAAGCGUCCGCAGGUGGCAGUUCAAGUCUGCUGUCAAAGACCGGGGGCUUAACUUCGGAAAGGCAGUGGAAACUGAACAGCUAGAGUAUGGUAGGGGCAGAGGGAAUUCCUGGUGUAGCGGUGAAAUGCGUAGAGAUCAGGAAGAACAUCGGUGGCGAAGGCGCUCUGCUGGACCAUAACUGACACUCAGGGACGAAAGCUAGGGGAGCGAAUGGG
rnacentral:rRNA from 1 species